rnacentral:rRNA from 1 species
CUGGGCCUACGGGGGGCAGCAGUGGGGAAUAUUGCACAAUGGGGGAAACCCUGAUGCAGCGACGCCGCGUGAGUGAAGAAGUAUCUCGGUACGUAAAGCUCUAUCAGCAGGGAAGAAAAUGACGGUACCUGACUAAGAAGCCCCGGCUAACUACGUGCCAGCAGCCGCGGUAAUACGUAGGGGGCAAGCGUUAUCCGGAUUUACUGGGUGUAAAGGGAGCGUAGACGGCAGCGCAAGUCUGGAGUGAAAUGCCGGGGCCCAACCCCGGUACAGGCUCUGGAAACUGGCGGGCUAGAGAGCAGGAG